rnacentral:rRNA from 2 species
GACGAACGCUGGCGGCGUGCCUAAUACAUGCAAGUAGAACGCUGAAGGAGGAGCUUGCUUCUCUGGAUGAGUUGCGAACGGGUGAGUAACGCGUAGGUAACCUGCCUGGUAGCGGGGGAUAACUAUUGGAAACGAUAGCUAAUACCGCAUAACAGUAGAUGUUGCAUGACAUUUGCUUAAAAGGUGCAAUUGCAUCACUACCAGAUGGACCUGCGUUGUAUUAGCUAGUUGGUGGGGUAACGGCUCACCAAGGCGACGAUACAUAGCCGACCUGAGAGGGUGAUCGGCCACACUGGGACUGAGACACGGCCCAG